ACCAGCUUUGCCAAGAUAGGUGAAAAACAGUUGAAUAUAUUUUUUUAUUUAAAACACAAUUAUCUGUAUUGUCUUAGUUUCCUUUCAUCUGCUAACCCUAGACAAUAUAAUUUAGUGGCAAUGAGUUAAUAUAAUUUAUAUUCUACUUAAAAUAGAUUGAGAUGAAGAUCAAAGGAAAAAAGGAAUGAAAAGAAAGAAGUAAAAAUACUUUAACACUAGGGCUA
rnacentral:lncRNA from 1 species